GACCAGACUCCUACGGGAGGCAGCAGUGGGGGAUAUUGCACAAUGGGGGAAACCCUGAUGCAGCGACGCCGCGUGAGCGAUGAAGUAUUUCGGUAUGUAAAGCUCUAUCAGCAGGGAAGAAAAUGACGGUACCUGACUAAGAAGCCCCGGCUAACUACGUGCCAGCAGCCGCGGUAAUACGUAGGGGGCAAGCGUUAUCCGGAUUUACUGGGUGUAAAGGGAGCGUAGACGGCAUGGCAAGUCAGAUGUGAAAGCCCGGGGCUCAACCCCGGGACUGCAUUUGAAACUGUCAGGCUGGAGUGCAGGAGAGGUAAGUGGAAUUCCUAGUGCAGCGGUGAAAUGCGUAGAUAUUAGGAGGAACACCAGUGGCGAAGGCGGCUUACUGGACUGUAACUGACGUUGAGGCUCGAAAGCGUGGGGAGCAAACAGGAUUAGAUACCCGAGUA
rnacentral:rRNA from 1 species